rnacentral:piRNA from 1 species
UAGGCUUAGGAUACCUUCAAA